CCUACGGGAGGCAGCAGUAGGGAAUCUUUCACAAUGGGCGAAAGCCUGAUGGAGCAACGCCGCGUGCAGGAUGAAGGCCUUCGGGUUGUAAACUGCUUUUAUCAGCGAGAAAUAUGAUGGUAACUUAUGAAUAAGGAUCGGCUAACUACGUGCCAGCAGCCGCGGUCAUACGUAGGAUCCGAGCAUUAUCCGGAGUGACUGGGUGUAAAGAGUUGCGUAGGUGGCAUAAUAAGUAGCUAGUGAAAUCUGGUGGCUCAACCAUUCAGACUAUUAGCUAAACUGUUAAGCUCGAGACCGUUAGGGGUAACUGGAAUUUCUAGUGUAGGAGUGAAAUCCGUAGAUAUUAGAAGGAACACCAAUAGCGUAGGCAGGUUGCUGGGACGGGUCUGACACUAAGGCACGAAAGCGUAGGGAGCAAACGGGAUUAGAUACCCUAGUAGUC
rnacentral:rRNA from 1 species